rnacentral:rRNA from 1 species
UAAAGUACUGCAAAGGAAUUAUAAUUAAUUAAAAAGAUUUAGUGGAGUAUAUUUUCUUUUGUAUCAGAAAGGUUUUAUAAGUUUAAUUAUAAAUUAAUUUAGACUAUAAGUGAUUUAAUAUUUUUUAUAUUAUUUAAUGUUAAUUAAAUUAUAAAUUUAUUUUAGAAAUGAAAAAUUUACGAACUUGUGGUUAUCUAAUUUAUUUUUAAAUUUAGUAAAUUUCUUUGUAGAAAAUAUAAAGAAAAGUUAAACUUUUUUUUGAAAAAUAAGGAAUAUAAUAUUAUAAAACUAGGCUUUUUAUUGUUCCUUUUAAAAAAUUGUUAUAAAAAAAAUAUUAAUAUUAAAAUAAAAUUCUUUUUAUAUAUAAAAUAUUAGACUAAUAAAUUAUAUUUUUGUUUUAAUAAUGAGGUUAUUAGUAUUUAUAAUUAAUUUAUAAAUUGAACUCGGCAAUAAGUAUUUUAGUAUGUUUAACAAAAACAUUUAAUGUAUAUUAAAAAGUAUGACCUGCCCAGUGAAAGGUUUAACGGCUGCAGUAUUUUGACUGUGCUAAGGUAGCAAAAUCAUUUGUUUUUUAAUUAAGAACGGGAAUGAAUGGUUUGACAAUAAUAAACUUUAAUUUUUUUUUAAAAUAAAUUUUUUUUUGUUUAAAUAAAAAUGCUUAAAUAAAUUAGAGGGACGAUAAGACCCUAAAAGCUUUUUUUAGGCAAUAAUUUAAAAGUAAUUUUAUUUAGAUAAAAUUAACUGGGGAAGUAGUUAUUUAUAUAUAAUAAUUUAUUUUACAGAAAAAAUGGUAUAUGAUCUUUUAAAUAAGAAUAAAUUGAGUUAGUUACUUUAGGGAUAACAGCAUAAUAGUUUUGAAGAGUUCUUAUUUAUAAAACUGAUUAUGACCUCGAUGUUGAAUUAAAAAUUCUUAACAAGGAAAAAGGUGUUAGAGAAGGUUUGUUCAACCUUUAAAUUUUUACAUGAUUUGAGUUCAAACCGGUUUAAGCCAGGUUGGUUUCUAUCUUUUAAACAUAACAAAUUUAUUUUAGUACGAAAGGAUUAAAUAAUUUUUAUACUAU